rnacentral:lncRNA from 1 species
UUCUCCCUCUAAAAGCUCUUGGCUUUAUACAACUCUCAGUCCUAUUGUUGAGUUGUUUCAAUGUGCUUGCAUAUGAAACAAUGAGCAUAGCACAGCCGCCUACACUGCCUCCGGCCGAAGCCCCACAACACCACAAAGGCGGCCACCACCACCACCACCACCCCAAACAUCCUCCCACCCCACCACCGGCGCAACCUCCCACCACUAAACCGCCGGUUCACCCUCCUACCCACGUGCCAGCCCACCCUCCGCCUAAGCCACCAGUUCACCCUCCUAUCCACACGCCCACUCCCCC